rnacentral:rRNA from 1 species
GAUGAACGCUGGCGGCGUGCUUAACACAUGCAAGUCGAACGGUGAAGGCGGAGCUUGCUCUGCUGGAUCAGUGGCGAACGGGUGAGUAACACGUGAGCAAUCUGCCCCUGACUCUGGGAUAAGCGCUGGAAACGGCGUCUAAUACUGGAUACGAGCUGCGAAGGCAUCUUCAGCAGCUGGAAAGAACUUCGGUCAGGGAUGAGCUCGCGGCCUAUCAGCUUGUUGGUGAGGUAACGGCUCACCAAGGCGUCGACGGGUAGCCGGCCUGAGAGGGUGACCGGCCACAGGGGGAGGAAGAAAGGCCCGGGACUCAGAGGGGGGGCAGAAGGGGGGAAUAUGGAAGAGGGGGGAAAGGCUGGAGGCAGCAACGCGGGGGGAGGGAGGAGGGCUUUCGGUUUAAAAACCUUUUUAGGGGGGAAAAAAGAAAAGGAGAGGGACCAUGAAGAAAAAGCGCGGGAAAACAAGGGC